AGUGAACGCUGGCGGUAGGCCUAACACAUGCAAGUCGAACGGCAGCACAGUAAGAGCCUGCUCUUACGGGUGGCGAGUGGCGGACGGGUGAGGAAUACAUCGGAAUCUACUUUUUCGUGGGGGAUAACGUAGGGAAACUUACGCUAAUACCGCAUACGACCUACGGGUGAAAGCAGGGGAUCUUCGGACCUUGCGCGAUUGAAUGAGCCGAUGUCGGAUUAGCUAGUUGGCGGGGUAAAGGCCCACCAAGGCGACGAUCCGUAGCUGGUCUGAGAGGAUGAUCAGCCACACUGGAACUGAGACACGGUCCAGACUCCUACGGGAGGCAGCAGUGGGGAAUAUUGGACAAUGGGCGCAAGCCUGAUCCAGCCAUACCGCGUGGGUGAAGAAGGCCUUCGGGUUGUAAAGCCCUUUUGUUGGGAAAGAAAAGCAGCAGGUUAAUACCCCGCUGUUCUGACGGUACCCAAAGAAUAAGCACCGGCUAACUUCGU
rnacentral:rRNA from 1 species